rnacentral:pre_miRNA from 1 species
CCACUUCAUCACCUUCUCAUGUGAGCAACCUCUUCAUCACCUUCUCAUGUUGAUGAAGAGGUUGCUCCCUUGAGAAGGUGAUGAAGAGGUUGCUCACAUGAGAAGGUGAUGAUGAGGU